rnacentral:rRNA from 1 species
UACGUAGGGGGCAAGCGUUGUCCGGAAUCAUUGGGCGUAAAGAGCGUGUAGGCGGUCCGAUAAGUCGGUUGUGAAAGUCCAGGGCUCAACCCUGGGAUGCCGGUGGAUACUGUCGGGCUCGAGUCCGGAAGAGGCGAGUGGAAUUCCUGGUGUAGCGGUGAAAUGCGCAGAUAUCAGGAGGAACACCAAUGGCGAAGGCAGCUCGCUGGGACGUGACUGACGCUGAGACGCGAAAGCGUGGGGAGCAAACAGG